rnacentral:rRNA from 1 species
CACUGUGGAAUUCGCCCUUAUUACCGCGGCUGCUGGCACGGAGUUAGCCGGUGCUUCUUCUGCGGGUAACGUCAAUCGAUGCGGUUAUUAACCACAUCGCCUUCCUCCCCGCUGAAAGUACUUUACAACCCGAAGGCCUUCUUCAUACACGCGGCAUGGCUGCAUCAGGCUUGCGCCCAUUGUGCAAUAUUCCCCACUGCUGCCUCCCGUAGGAGUCUGGACCGUGUCUCAGUUCCAGUGUGGCUGGUCAUCCUCUCAGACCAGUUACGGAUCGUCGCCUUGGUGAGCCAUUACCCCACCAACUAGCUAAUCCGACCUAGGCUCAUCUGAUAGCGCAAGGCCCGAAGGUCCCCUGCUUUCUCCCGUAGGACGUAUGCGGUAUUAGCGUCCGUUUCCGAACGUUAUCCCCCACUACCAGGCAGAUUCCUAGGCAUUACUCACCCGUCCGCCGCUCUCAAGAGAAGCAAGCUUCUCUCUACCGCUCGACUUGCAUGUGUUAGGCCUGCCGCCAGCGUUCAAUCUGAGCCAGGAUCAAACUCU